UAGGGAAUCUUCCGCAAUGGACGCAAGUCUGACGGAGCAACGCCGCGUGAGUGAAGAAGGAUUUCGGUUCGUAAAACUCUGUUGUUAGAGAAGAACAGCGCAUAGAGUAACUGUUAUGCGUGUGACGGUAUCUAACCAGAAAGCCACGGCUAACUACGUGCCAGCAGCCGCGGUAAUACGUAGGUGGCAAGCGUUGUCCGGAUUUAUUGGGCGUAAAGCGAGCGCAGGCGGUCAAUUAAGUCUGAUGUGAAAGCCCCCGGCUCAACCGGGGAGGGUCAUUGGAAACUGGUUGACUUGAGUGCAGAAGAGGAGAGUGGAAUUCCAUGUGAAGCGGUGAAAUGCGUAGAUAUAUGGAGGAACACCAGUGGCGAAGGCGACUCUCUGGUCUGUAACUGACGCUGAGGCUCGAAAGCGUGGGUAGCAAACAGG
rnacentral:rRNA from 1 species